rnacentral:lncRNA from 12 species
UCAGAUUUUAAUAUGUUUAAAAAUAAAUUGGAAUUCUUGUUUUUGAAAAGAUUAUCAGACUUCAGCCUUUCAGGAUAUGUUCAGAAAAUUAUUACAAUUGUACUAAAUAUUAAUCCAAUGGAGUGUGUUCCUCAUUUUGGAAACCCGUCUCAGAAGAAGCAGCAGACAUAAACAUGCUUCAGAGAUAUUCAAAUUAAUAACAACCAGAAUGAUCAAAUGAAAACAUAAUCUUAAAUGGCUAGACUUAAAAGCACAUUAAUUAGACAAAUUGGUAUUUUCCAGUUCAUCCAGUUAAAUUACAAAGAAAGUUCUAAAAGCAGGUUUUACAUCUGCCUCUGUAAGUUUUCCAGGAUCCAACUUUUUUCUGUAACGCAUUUGAUAAGAUUUGCUUUAUUCUGCCCAAAUAAUUAAUUAUUUAUGUGAUUAGAGGGAGACUGAGGUUACAUUCCUUGUUAUGAUGCUGGGAAAAGAUGAGAGGAGAAAAAUAUGGAUGAAGAGGACAACAAAAAUGCAAAGGAGCAGAGAUGACAGAUACAGCAAAGAAUCUGCAACAAGUUUGUCAGGUCACCUUAAAUGGGAACUAAGCAUGAAACCUGACAGCGGAGUGUGCAGAGAUGAAAUGCUCCUGGAUGACUCCGUGGUGGUUUUGGUUGCUGUGGUGAUUAUCCAUCUGUUUAAAUCCUUCAUAUGGGAGAUUCACAACUCAUUUAUCAUGGUAAAGAUUUUUUUAAGUUGUGAGAAACACAGCAUUAUGGCUGAUUCCUGUAAUUUUGCACACUUGAUUAGCAAAAUAUUCCACUUUAUCUGUCAUGGCAUAAGGACAAAAUGUAGCAUUUAUUUAUAUUUAGAGGGUACCAUACUUGGGUUCUGUGUCCACCACUAGCCCAGUGGGCUGGAACAGUGGCACAUGUGUGCUGGCCUAUGCAGCUGAAGAGGCUGACUGCAAACACUUAAUGAGGGGCCUCCUUUAAUGAAUCCUCUGUCUGAAGAAGUCACCCAGAUUAAAUUGUAUGUUUGAGAAAUUUCAUAUGAAAACAACAAAUGACCAGAUAGGAGAGAGCUGAACACUUCAUAUAUCUGAAUCUAAUCAAUCAUCUUAAUGUGAUGUUUUGUUUUUCUUGACAGUUCCCUUCUCCAUGGCACGCUGUGGCAGAUCCUCUUGGGCUUUGAAGUAACUCAGGAAAGGGAGUGACACAUCUGCCUUUCCAUUUGCA